rnacentral:rRNA from 1 species
GAAUGCUGACAUAAGUAACGAUAAAGCGGGUGAAAAGCCCGCUCGCCGGAAGACCAAGGGUUCCUGUCCAACGUUAAUCGGGGCAGGGUGAGUCGACCCCUAAGGCGAGGCCGAAAGGCGUAGUCGAUGGGAAACAGGUUAAUAUUCCUGUACUUGGUGUUACUGCGAAGGGGGGACGGAGAAGGCUAUGUUGGCCGGGCGACGGUUGUCCCGGUUUAAGCGUGUAGGCUGGUUUUCCAGGCAAAUCCGGAAAAUCAAGGCUGAGGCGUGAUGACGAGGCACUACGGUGCUGAAGCGACAAAUGCCCUGCUUCCAGGAAAAGCCUCUAAGCAUCAGGUAACAUCAAAUCGUACCCCAAACCGACACAGGUGGUCAGGUAGAGAAUACCAAGGCGCUUGAGAGAACUCGGGUGAAGGAACUAGGCAAAAUGGUGCCGUAACUUCGGGAGAAGGCACGCUGAUAUGUAGGUGAAGCGACUUGCUCGUGGAGCUGAAAUCAGUCGAAGAUACCAGCUGGCUGCAACUGUUUAUUAAAAACACAGCACUGUGCAAACACGAAAGUGGACGUAUACGGUGUGACGCCUGCCCGGUGCCGGAAGGUUAAUUGAUGGGGUUAGCGGUAACGCGAAGCUCUUGAUCGAAGCCCCGGUAAACGGCGGCCGUAACUAUAACGGUCCUAAGGUAGCGAAAUUCCUUGUCGGGUAAGUUCCGACCUGCACGAAUGGCGUAAUGAUGGCCAGGCUGUCUCCACCCGAGACUCAGUGAAAUUGAACUCGCUGUGAAGAUGCAGUGUACCCGCGGCAAGACGGAAAGACCCCGUGAACCUUUACUAUAGCUUGACACUGAACAUUGAGCCUUGAUGUGUAGGAUAGGUGGGAGGCUUUGAAGUGUGGACGCCAGUCUGCAUGGAGCCGACCUUGAAAUACCACCCUUUAAUGUUUGAUGUUCUAACGUGGGCCCCUUACCGGGGUUGCGGACAGUGUCUGGUGGGUAGUUUGACUGGGGCGGUCUCCUCCUAAAGAGUAACGGAGGAGCACGAAGGUUGGCUAAUCCUGGUCGGACAUCAGGAGGUUAGUGCAAUGGCAUAAGCCAGCUUGACUGCGAGCGUGACGGCGCGAGCAGGUGCGAAAGCAGGUCAUAGUGAUCCGGUGGUUCUGAAUGGAAGGGCCAUCGCUCAACGGAUAAAAGGUACUCCGGGGAUAACAGGCUGAUACCGCCCAAGAGUUCAUAUCGACGGCGGUGUUUGGCACCUCGAUGUCGGCUCAUCACAUCCUGGGGCUGAAGUAGGUCCCAAGGGUAUGGCUGUUCGCCAUUUAAAGUGGUACGCGAGCUGGGUUUAGAACGUCGUGAGACAGUUCGGUCCCUAUCUGCCGUGGGCGCUGGAGAACUGAGGGGGGCUGCUCCUAGUACGAGAGGACCGGAGUGGACGCAUCACUGGUGUUCGGGUUGUCAUGCCAAUGGCACUGCCCGGUAGCUAAAUGCGGAAGAGAUAAGUGCUGAA